GUACUGGUGCCUGGGUGAGGGGGUUCAAUGAGAAAAAUAACUAUUUUGAGUUGCUGCCAAGGCAUUUUACAGUAUGACAACCCUGCUCACACCCAGAGUCUGGACAUUUAGAUAAUGAGUUUAGGAUUCCUAAUGUAAUUUCCCUCUUUGCUUUUCCCAGGGCACUUUUUUUUUUUGGUGAGGAAGAUUCGCCCUGAGCUAACACCUGUUGCCAAUCUUCCUCUUCUUGCUUGAGGAAGAUUAGCCCUGAGCUAGCAUCUGUGCCCAUCUUCCUCUAUUUUGUAUGUGAGUUGCCACGACAGCAUGGCUGAUGAAUGGUAUACGUUGGUGCCUGGGAUCCGAACCCACGAACCUGGGGCAGUGAAGUGGAGCAUGCCGGACUUAACUACUAUGCUCCAGGCUGGCCCAGGGCACCUUUUAAAAUAACCACUUGGAGUUGAGACCACGAAAAGUGAGUUGCUUCGUCAUCCUCAAGAACCCAUACGAAAGAGGAAGUUGUAAAAAGUUUUCUUUGGUGGGGGUUGAUUUUUUUUCCACUGAGGAAGAUUAGCCCUGAGUUAAUAUCUCUUGUCAGUUUUCCUCUUUUUGCUGGGGAAGAUUCACCCUGAGACAACAUCUGUUGCCAAUCUUCCUCUUUUUUGUGGGGGGGUAUGUGAGCUGCUGCCACAGCAUGGCUACCAACGAGAGGUGUAGUUCCGCGCUGGAAACCAGGUCCUGGCCACUGAUGUGGAGGGUGCAGAACUUAACCACCAGGCCGCUGGGGCUGGCCUGGGGGUUGAUUGUGAAGAGCAAAGAACAGUUUGGGAAAGACACAAUGGCUUUAAAAGAUCUCAAUUAAUGAGAGUUUUGGAGGCCUAAAUGGGUGGCCCUAUGAAAUCAGUCAAACAAGUGGCAAAGAAAUUGGACUCAGAUUUAGCAGUUAUUCCUGGAAAGAGGGCCUUACAUUUGCAUAUACGAGUGGUGGUGUGCACAAGUGUUUUAACAAUCGUUUUGAAUAGGAAUCUCACAUUGAUACUGUGAAGGUCACAAAUAUACACCUAGAGGAUGCAUUUUAAAAAUGUCCUAAUGCCACAUGAAUGCAUUACUAUCAUUUGUCAAGAAUAUCAAGAUUCAAAAAGGCCUGUCUCUCCUUCUGCUUGUUGGAAGAGAGAUGCUGGAUCAUGGAAAGCCGGCUUAGAAGAUUCAAAAACUGGCUUGAAGAUGAGAAAAACACUGAUGUUGGCGAUGCCUGUGAAGUGUUGUAAAAAAAGCUUUUUGAAACUUGAAAGUGGAAAAGAGCAUUACUUAUCUAUUACUCAUAUGUAAAUAUAUAGUUGUAUCUAAACAAGUAAAUUAAAUAUUUUAAGUGCAUGUUUCAUUUCCCUAAAGUUUAUAUAAGCAGGACAACCCCAACGAAUUUUCAUUUUCUCCCUGGGAAAUAUUUGUUAUUAGCCCAUUGGAAAAAU
rnacentral:lncRNA from 1 species